UAACUUGAUUAUGAUGAUGAUGAUGAAUAUGAUGAAACGUGUACAUAAAUUUUAAAUCGUGUGUGGAACACACUAACUUUUACGUUUGAUUCGUCUCAAUAAGUCAUGCCAAUCGAAUGCAAAAAGGUAUACCGCCAAAUCUCCUUCAAAAUACUUUGGAAUAUUCCUUGACAUUUUGCACGUUCACACCUAAUAUAUCGAUCAAUGAUAGUUUAUUUACAGAAUAGAGAUAUGUUAAUUUCUCUCAUGCACUUGAUAAAAGAAAGAUUUAUUUAGUAUUACUUUUGGCAAAUCUUUGAUUCACAAGAAUGUGAUGUUCUGUAUAUUUUUUGAAUGAAUUUCUGCCUCCAAAGUGUCUCUAGUUUAUCAUGCUUUUCUCUGUCAAUUUUUUCCUGGCGUUUCCUUGGUCUAUAGUUGUAUUUGUGAUUUGGUGGUGGUGAUGUGUGGGUACGUUGUGGUGACUCACAGGUUGGUCAGAGAUGACGUUUGUUUGUGAUGGUGGUGAUAGUUGUGUUGCGAGAUGGUUGGGGGAGGAAGUGUAGGUGUUGGUUUGAGUGGUCAUUUAUGGUAGCAGUAGUGGUGUGGUUUGAAUGGGGUGGUCGUGGAUAAUCCGGACUCGGAUCUAUCGAAACUCACGGUGGACAUAAGGUGAUUUAGAGCAGGUGUGGACGUUGUUUAGGUAUGUAGGUGAUGGGAAGGUGGUUAGUGGUUAGCUCUUUGGUAUUUCUGUUAUAGGACGCCUCUAUGUUGGGUCCUAUUCGUCGACGCUAGCUCUUGUUUCAAUUUGGUUGCUUUGUUUUUGGGGGUUUUUGAGCUGAUCUUGUUUCCUUUUUUGACAUGAUUUUGGUUUACUCACUGCCCAUCCUAUCGAAUGCCAUACUGAUUUGUGCUCUGGAUUCUGGUGGGGCGAUUAUUUUUGCUUCGAGAUCAGGAGCUAGUGUCUAACUACAUAUGGUUUGGCUGGUUAUGGUGUCCUCUUCGAUGGAUCGGGGAUAUGAGGGUUACCUUACUAAUUUUUCACUAGAGUCUGGUGGACCGAUCGAUUUUGAUUCGAGAUAGGGAGUCAAAUCUUUGAUUCAAGUUUUCUUUGGUCUAUUAUGGUGUUUCUUCUUCGGCGAAUCGGGGGUAUAAAGGUAGUGAAAGUCGAAGGAGUGAUUGAAUUGAACAUUUUAGGUGUGGCUUAACCAUGGGGAGGUGAAGAGGAUGUUUGAUUGCGAGGACUUUUUUUUGGAGUGAGUAGCGGCGAUGGGUAUUUAUGGAUUUCGUUUCCAAUGGUUGUUUGCGUUGGAGUUUGUUUUAGGUAGUGAAAUUGGUUUUUGUGGUUAUGG
rnacentral:lncRNA from 1 species